AUACUCCUGUCUCAGCCUCCUGAGCUGUUGGGAUCACAGGCAUGGCCACUGCACCCAGCCCAGAUGCAGCUUAUUUUUCCCAAAAUAUUUGCCAUCCAUGGCUGGUUGAAACUGCAGAUGUGAAACCUGAGGAUUCAGAAGGCCACCUGUACAGGGGACCGGGGACAACCUGGAUCUCACUGUGAGAGAAUUCCAGGACUGACCAGGUGGUGACCUUUUAUGCCAUCUGGGCACACUUGUGCACCUGUCCUCUCAAGUAUUCAAGAGACUGAGGUAGGUGGGUCACCUGAGCCUAGGAGCCUAGGAGUUUGAGAUCUGCCUGGGCAACAACAAGACCCUGUCUAGAAAAUAGAAGUCAAUAUCACAGAGGGACAUCAAUCAAAAAGUACGGGAGGGCUGUUUCCUAUUGAAGAUGCUGAAGAGGAUAACCGGGCAUCUGGUGUGGCUGCUGGUCCUGGUCUGCUGAAAACUUUCCUGGGUGUUUUUGAGAUGCAGGGAAGGCUGAGUCCUGCCUGGCUGCUGUGGAGGGUACGGGGUAUGGUGUGUGGUGCAGGUGAGAGCCUUGUUGCCAAGCUGUGUCCUGACCCGCGGGCAGGCAGGAGCUGUGGAACCCCAGGGGAGCACACGCAUGGCCUUCACUGCUCUCCUGACUUGGUUCUGCUGGAAGAUUUCCUUAAUCAAACAUCGAGAUAAGCAGAAAGAAGAUAGGAAGCAGAGUGAAUGGCACAGACACCAGUGUUGACAGAUGGGCCAGGCAGGACUACCACUCAGGUGUCAGGCUGACCAAGCCGCUUCCCCUGCAGAGGACAUGGAGGCUAAUUCCUGGUCCUCACUGGAGUUGGAUGGCCCUGCCUGGCACCUUUCCCCAGUCUCAUCCCAAGGCCAGGUUCCUCUGGAGACGCUAUGGCCACCUGUCCAGCCACAGGGCCUGAAGAAGCCUCAGGCCGGGGUGAUCCUGUCCCCUUGAAGCUGGGGCUAUGAGGUGCCAGGCAGGCAGAGGUCAAUGAGACCAUGACCCUGUUGUGUGCUGUCAGUAUUUCCCAUGGGCUCUGCUUGACCCUGGCCACCUUGUGGACAUCAGUCACUUCUUGAAGGACUGAUUCCAUAAUCCUUCAAGUAAGAGAUGAAGAGGUUGUCUUAAGAUUGACCUCGAGCGGUGCCUGUUAACGUCACCUCCAGGAUCUCGUCAGUGAACUUACCUGCCCGUGGCAGUGUCAUCAGAGGAGCCCCUCCCACCUGCAGGGUGCUGCCAGGUGGGGACUGCAGGGCCCCAGUCCCCUUCCCUGCAGAACCCUCUGGACCCCUCCCAAGACAGCACGGGCAGCUCUGGGACUCUUGACCAGCAAGGUCCUUGGGCAGCAGAGGAUUCUGUCUCAGGGUCAGUGCCAGCUGGCACAGUGGCUGUGCAUUUCACGGGAGGGAUGGAAGCACCCAGGUCUUCACCAGCAGGAAUCUACAACUGUGUGACACUGGAGACCUUGGGAGUUUGAUCUGGGGUGAGCUUCGGGCCCUACACCUGACAUGUCCCAGCUGGAAAGGAGAGAAGAAAAGGCCAGGCUGAGACUGGACAGAGAGGGCCCUGCCCAGAUUCCUUAAUGCAGCUCAACAGGGGUUGAGAAGGAAGGACGCUUUUAAGGAGUGGAGGCUUCUGACUGCCACAUGUAGAGCACUGGAAACACUCCUUCAGAGUUUCCUGCUGAGGCCCAAGGCAAGGAAUUGCUGGAGCACCUUCAGGGAAUGCUUCAGGAAGGCCCCCUGGGAGAAAGCCCAUAUCCCAUGAGGAACUGCUCCCUGAAAGGGUGACCUGAAAUGUAAUGAAUGUGGAAGAAACUUCAAGUCGACACUCAUCGCCUAAAAAGUCACAAAAAUUCUACAGAAGACAGUAGCCCAUAGAUGUGACAGAUGUGGCAAGAGCUUCAAAUGCAACCCAGGUGGGGCUGGGGUGGUGGCUCAGUGGAAGGGCACUCACCUAACACAUUUGAGCCUCUGGGUUCGAUCAUCAGCGCCACAUAAA